rnacentral:rRNA from 1 species
AACGAACGCUGGCGGCAUGCCUAACACAUGCAAGUCGAACGAGAUCUUCGGGUCUAGUGGCGCACGGGUGCGUAACGCGUGGGAAUCUGCCCUUUGGUUCGGAAUAACAGUUGGAAACGACUGCUAAUACCGGAUGAUGACGAAAGUCCAAAGAUUUAUCGCCAGAGGAUGAGCCCGAGUAGGAUUAGCUAGUUGGUGUGGUAAAGGCGCACCAAGGCGACGAUCCUUAGCUGGUCUGAGAGGAUGAUCAGCCACACUGGGACUGAGACACGGCCCAGACUCCUACGGGAGGCAGCAGUGGGGAAUAUUGGACGAUGGGCGAAAGCCUGAUCCAGCAAUGCCGCGUGAGUGAUGAAGGCCUUAGGGUUGUAAAGCUCUUUUACCCGGGAUGAUAAUGACGGUACCGGGAGAAUAAGCUCCGGCUAACUCCGUGCCAGCCGCCGCGGUAA